GAUCUCUGAAUGCCUGAGGGCUUCUGAAGCACUGAACAACAACUGAGGGGAAACAGAAGUUUCAAGACAAGUUCUUGGCUAGUUGUAUCAAAACAAAGUGGAGGCUUGAUAACUUCCAGCAGGACAAUUUUACUACAGCCUAUGAAUUGAACUGCAAAUGAUUGAUACCAAACUUCUCCUGUUUUCAGUGGGAAUUAUCUAGUAGUUCCGAGGCUUUCUUGAGGGCUAAUUCAAAAGACUGGAAGAGUAUUAAUGGUUACCAUAUUUCAAUGUGUAAUAAGGAAGAAUAUCAUAUGGGAUGCACCAGAUGACUGUGUCACUGCCUGGGGUGAACUACUCUCUCUGCUCUGAGCAGACCAUAAAUUAGAACAGGAAGCCAGCAUGGCUCCUCAGAUCAGGUAACCUGCAUGGGUAAAUUCUGCAUGUGUAAGAAAGAGCUUCUUUCAUAUUGAUGCAUCGCUUGUGCUUGGGGUGCCUUGCUUCUCUUGAGGUUGGCUAUGUUUAUGCUAUCAAGAUGCCAUUCCCCUUAUAGUGACAUAGACUUUUUAAAACAAGUCAGAAGUAAAAGUUUGGUUGACAGUGAAGGUGAGGGCAUCUCUUGCUGGAGAUCCUUGUCUACCUGAAGUCUUUCAAAGGUAAGCAG